rnacentral:rRNA from 1 species
AUUGAACGCUGGCGGCAUGCCUAACACAUGCAAGUCGAACGAGUGGCGGACGGGUGAGUAAUGUCUGGGAAACUGCCCUAUGGAGGGGGAUAACUACUGGAAACGGUAGCUAAUACCGCAUACCAUCGGAUUUGCCCUGAUGGGCUUAGCUAGUAGGUGGGGUAACGGCUCACCUAGGCGACGAUCCCUAGCUGGUCUAAGAGGAUGACCAGCCAAACUGGAACUGAGACACGGUCCAGACUCCUACGGGAGGCAGCAGUGGGGAAUAUUGCGCAAUGGGCGCAAGCCUGAUGCAGCCAUGCCGCGUGUAUGAGGAAGGCCUUCGGUUGGUAAAGUACUUUCAGCGGGGAGGCGUUACCCGCAGAAAAAGCACCGGCUAACUCCGUGCCAGCAGCCGCGGUAAUUC